rnacentral:tRNA from 1 species
GUGGCUGUAGCUCAAUUGGUUAGAGCACUUGACUGUGGCUCAAGAGGUCGCGGGUUCGAGUCCCGUCAGCCACCCCA